GCGCCCGUAGCUCAACCGGACAGAGCACCGGCCUUCUAAGCCGGGGGUUGUGGGUUCGAGUCCCGCCGGGCGUGCCA
rnacentral:tRNA from 3 species